UACAGAGGGUGCGAGCGUUGUCCGGAAUCACUGGGCGUAAAGGCGCGUAGGCGGCCCGGUAAGGUUGCGGUGAAAGCCCGGGGCUCAACCCCGGGUCGGCCGUGGCAACUGCUGGGCUGGAGCACAGUAGAGGCGGGUGGAAUUCCGGGUGUAGCGGUGGAAUGCGUAGAGAUCCGGAAGAACACCGGUGGCGAAGGCGGCCCGCUGG
rnacentral:rRNA from 1 species